rnacentral:ribozyme from 12 species
UUUUAGAUUCAAAGAUUUUUUCUGUUAAUCGACCUUGUUUUUAAAAUUAUAUUUUAAAGGAGGUGAUC